rnacentral:rRNA from 1 species
GAUGAACGCUGGCGGCGUGCUUAACACAUGCAAGUCGAACGAUGAUCCCAGCUUGCUGGGGGAUUAGUGGCGAACGGGUGAGUAACACGUGAGUAACCUGCCCUUGACUCUGGGAUAAGCCUGGGAAACUGGGUCUAAUACCGGAUACGACCAUUCCACGCAUGUGGUGGUGGUGGAAAGCUUUUGUGGUUUUGGAUGGACUCGCGGCCUAUCAGCUUGUUGGUGGGGUAAUGGCCUACCAAGGCGACGACGGGUAGCCGGCCUGAGAGGGUGACCGGCCACACUGGGACUGAGACACGGCCCAGACUCCUACGGGAGGCAGCAGUGGGGAAUAUUGCACAAUGGGCGCAAGCCUGAUGCAGCGACGCCGCGUGAGGGAUGACGGCCUUCGGGUUGUAAACCUCUUUCAGUAGGGAAGAAGCGAAAGUGACGGUACCUGCAGAAGAAGCGCCGGCUAACUACGUGCCAGCAGCCGCGGUAAUACGUAGGGCGCAAGCGUUAUCCGGAAUUAUUGGGCGUAAAGAGCUCGUAGGCGGUUUGUCGCGUCUGCUGUGAAAGACCGGGGCUCAACUCCGGUUCUGCAGUGGGUACGGGCAGACUAGAGUGCAGUAGGGGAGACUGGAAUUCCUGGUGUAGCGGUGAAAUGCGCAGAUAUCAGGAGGAACACCGAUGGCGAAGGCAGGUCUCUGGGCUGUAACUGACGCUGAGGAGCGAAAGCAUGGGGAGCGAACAGGAUUAGAUACCCUGGUAGUCCAUGCCGUAAACGUUGGGCACUAGGUGUGGGGGACAUUCCACGUUUUCCGCGCCGUAGCUAACGCAUUAAGUGCCCCGCCUGGGGAGUACGGCCGCAAGGCUAAAACUCAAAGGAAUUGACGGGGGCCCGCACAAGCGGCGGAGCAUGCGGAUUAAUUCGAUGCAACGCGAAGAACCUUACCAAGGCUUGACAUGAACCGGUAAUACCUGGAAACAGGUGCCCCGCUUGCGGUCGGUUUACAGGUGGUGCAUGGUUGUCGUC